AUCAGGUCUUCCAGAUGUGCACCUGAAUUCACAAUGGACGUGGCCAAUGCCCCCCGGGCUGAGUGGGCACCAAAGAUGGACGUAUCCACACCGGCCAGAGACAUCACCCAUUUCACCCAACGAGCCAACGUAGUACUGGACACAGGGGAGAAGGGGCAACGAAGCGAGAGAAACAGCUGGGGAGACGACGUAGCUCAAUGUGCGCUCGUUCGAAGUUCAUAUUCCCGUAGGCAGGCCACCAGACA